rnacentral:SRP_RNA from 1 species
GGCCAUGAGGCAAGGUUACCCUCACGAAUUGUGUCAGGACCGGAAGGUAGCAGCACUAAGUUUGUGGUGGUCUGUGCUUCAUGUUUAAU